GCUCUGGAAAAAACCCUGGGAGCGAGGUCAGGACUGUGGGCAGGGAGGUUGGCCGGCCCUCACCUGGAGGUGCUGACCAUGACCCUCGCCCCACAGGGCCUUCGCCAAGCAGCCGCAGCAGCUGACGGCCACGAAGGUCCUGCAGAGGAACUGAGCCGCCUACCUCAAGCUGCACAAGCAGUGGUGGCGACUCUUCACCAAGGCAGAGUUCCUCACGCUGGCUCCUGGCACAUCUCAAAGACAUAAAAAUGAGAACAUGCAAAAACUGGUAGAAUUUGAGUGCAAUCUAUAUUCUGCUGCUGCUGCUGCUGCUGCUGCUACUGCUGCUAACUCGAUUCAGUCGUGUCCAACUCUGUGUGACCCAUUGGACUGCAGCCUACCAGGCUUCUCCAUCCAUGGGAUUCUCCAGGAAUGAUGAGAACGGCAGACAACUCAGGGAGGUUUUAAAAGAGGAAAAGAGAUGAUGCCAACAUGGUGAGCCCAGAAAACAGCAUUUCCUGUUGACUGAGCAUCUACUGUUCACCAAGCCCAGUCCCUGCCUUGUCUCACUCAUCCUCUCAGUGACUCUACAGGCUACUCACUCUUUCUAUGAGCAAGGAAACCAAGUCACAGCAAAACCUGGGGUAGCCUAAAAGGGCUGCAUGAUGGCAAAUUCUCUCCCUACUCAUGGAAGAUGCGGAGUCAUGGACGCAGCCGAAUGGGGCCCAGAGGCUCUGUGACGAAAGAGUUCAGGCAGCUUUCCCCCUGAGGUGGGGCUGUUCCAGGAGCGAGUUAACACUUGGAGCCAGUUGCAGUGGGUCCCCAUGGGCCCGGUCGGACCCAUCUCCCAGUGCCCACUAGGGCCUCUGGCAGCUGGGCUCACUUCUUAGGCCAAGUGGUAUUUGACAUUGUGACUCAUCUCAAGCUAUUGUGGAAGAAAAUUACAUUUUUAGACUAUUCAAGGAUUUAAAGAUUUCUCUUCCUCUAAGGAAAUGGCAUAAUUCAGAAAACAAACCAAAACAAGAGGCAGGGAGACCCGCCCAGAUUCCCCACUUGAGGGGCAAGUCUGAACCUUAGUUUUCCCUUGUGACUCAGGGAUAAUAAAUGUUGUCAUCAGAGGGCUGUGGUAGCUUACACAACAAUGUGUGUGAAAGUGCUUUGCAGAUUGUAAAGGGUUCAGGUGCUACUAUGUUUUCCGAUAAAGUUCUCCAGGUAUAUCUGGGCCCAGAGGUCGUGUGUCGUUAUUGCAGAGUCAAAAAGCUGGUAGCUGCUUUGCAUAGCUGAGAACAACUGGAUCUUGUUUACAUUCAGCCAGAGAAGAUUUCUGGCAGGACAGGGUCAUACAGACACCCUUCAACAUAGAGCAGCCCAGAAAACACAUCCCUGAUGUUCAGGCCCUGAGAAGAGAGGCAGAAGGGUCCAGGGUGAAGGGUCAUUAUGAGAACUAAAAGCGAGUGAAUGCCUACCAAGCACUUGGAAUGGUGCAAAGAGAGAAGUCAUCGACCACGAUAGCUAAUACAUAUUAGAUACUGCAUUUUUCUUUUUCAUGAUUUAAAUUUUUUGUUAUUAUUUAUUUCUUACUGGGAAAAAAUAAUGAUUUCAUUUGUUUGUAUACUUUUUCUUAUACCUUUCCCCACUCUCUCCUAAUAUCAUUUUUUUAUCACUAAGUUUGUACCCUCUUUUAGAAAACUUUGUAAUUGUAAGCCCUUUGUUUACUCCUUUAUUUCUUAAGCUCUCAACUGAAGCCAGGAUUUCUUGACUCUCUGUUUUGUAAAAUGAAAUAUUAAUCCUCAUCCUCCCUUCAGUGCUUCAGCUCCCAACUUAUAGCAGUGUGCCUUAAUUUUUAUAGUGAUUAACA
ensembl:lncRNA